UACGUAGGGGGGCAAGCGUUGUCCGGAUUUAUUGGGCGUAAAGAGCGUGUAGGCGGCCAAACAGGUCAGCUGUGAAAACUCGAGGCUCAACCUCGAGACGUCGGUUGAAACCGUUUGGCUAGAGUCCGGAAGAGGAGAGUGGAAUUCCCCGGUGUAGCGGUGAAAUGCGCAGAUAUCGGGAAGAACACCCGUGGCGAAGGCGGCUCUCUGGGGACGGUACUGACGCUGAGACGCGAAAGCGUGGGGAGCGAACAGG
rnacentral:rRNA from 1 species